AGUGAACUUCGUUUGCAGUGGAAAUCCUUUUGUGCCGGUGUUCGGCACAAAAGAUUGAAACGAAAAGCGGGACUAUAU
rnacentral:sRNA from 1 species